rnacentral:rRNA from 1 species
UACGGAGGGUGCAAGCGUUAUCCGGAUUCACUGGGUUUAAAGGGUGCGUAGGAGGGUUGGUAAGUCAGUGGUGAAAUCUCCGAGCUUAACUUGGAAACUGCCGUUGAUACUAUCAAUCUUGAAUAUCGUGGAGGUGAGCGGAAUAUGUCAUGUAGCGGUGAAAUGCUUAGAUAUGACAUAGAACACCAAUUGCGAAGGCAGCUCACUAAGCAAAUAUUGACGCUGAGGCACGAAAGCGUGGGGAUCAAACAGG